ensembl:snRNA U6 U6 spliceosomal RNA
GUGCUUGCUUCGCAGCACACAUACUAAAAUUGGAACAAUACAGAGAUUAGCAUGGCCCCUGUGCAAAGAUGACACGCAAAUUCGUGAAGCAUUCCAUACGUGU